rnacentral:lncRNA from 1 species
UGUGUUAUCUGAGGAACUUCUGAUAGUCCAGGAGGAUGCUGGGCAGAAGGGAGAGGUUGUGGUAAAGAGACAUUUUCUGCUGCUAUCCAGUAUAUCAACCCCUGCAGUAACUUUGUUUCAUUCACUGCUACAAUGCUCUUUUUAAGGAGGGUAUUGUCACAGGGGUGGACUCUGGUCACAGAGGUAACACAGAGACUGUAGUGCAUCCUACCUGCUUGCCGAGGCCCAGCGUUUACUAUCUUAUUGGGCAUUGUCUCAGGUUACUUCCAUUUGAGUUCUAGAGCGCUUCCCCAUCCACUUCCCAAGUCUGUUAAAAGACUAACUGUACUUUCAAAGGAGACAUGGUCAACAAAGAUGUCUUCACAGCCUCUGAGUUCUCAGCUUUCAUAGCAAUUAAAAAUCUAGAAGAAAAAUCCUUCACACAAUUGGUUUCAGACCAGAGAGAGCAGAGGUAAAAACAGAAAGAAGGAGAAAAAGAAAGGCACCGUGGAAAAGGUCUUCUACCACCUGAACUGAAACCUCUGAGUGGGAACUUGAGCCUCAGCCAUUCAGGCUCUUCAUGUGGACCUAGACAUGUCACCUGCUGGCUUCAAGAGGUGAGCUAAUAAUCAAGAUGAGCCAUUACUGUCAGCAUUCCUGAUCGUACAAAACUGUGGAGAAUGGUUAAUAAAGGAAAGAAAACUCUGGAUACCAGAGCAACAUAUGUGCAUCCAAACUAGAGCAAGAGGAAAUGAUUUGUGUAGCAGUCAAAGGAGGGAUCAGUGGAAGAUGAUGAAACAGACUAUAAAACAAAACAAAAUGGACCAUCUCCACCAGGAUAAAGAUGCAAUCAAGUGCUUUCUUUCAUCUGCCUGCUUUUCAGCCAGAGUGCCAGAGCAGCUGAACAUGCAGAGAACACAGAUCCUCAGACGUGGAGCUGGCUUCAUCAGCAAGCCUUCCUUCUGAGUAUACAGGGCCCAAGCUAAGGAAAGCUUCAUUGCCUCAAAGUUGUUAAUACUUUAGGAAAAAAGGAUGCGAAUUUUGCUUUUAUAUUUAUUCUACCAAAUUAUCUAGCCACUCUUCCUUGAGACCUUCGAAUCCCACCUUCACUGAAGGGCUCUCAUGCCAAUGAACACAAUCCCAGCAGACUUUGGAAUGCUGUGUUAGCAGAUAUC